CACUAUUUGGAGUGCUUUAUUUCCAGAAAUUACUGUGUUGAUCGUGAUGAAACUGCGUGCCUGGAAGCUGGCCGAACAUGGAUUUGUCUUCCUUUUGCCUGGGAAGCUCCAUAAAUGCCCACCUGCGCAGCCACUUUUGCC